AAAAUAAUUUUUCUUUAGAACUCUAGUACCAGGAGUCCAUGAUACGCCUCAUGCUCAUGAAUCUCAUGCCACCCAUAUUGCUGAAGCUCCUG